UCUCUCUCUUCCUCUCUCUCUAACUCUCUCUCUCUCUCCGAGUUUGCAAAAAUUCUCAACCAUCGUUGCCUUCACCAACAAAUCCGGUUCCGAUUCCCCCAAUUUGCGGCUUUAAAUUCAUCCGAAAUUGCUUGGGUUUCGAUUGGGGUGGUGCUGGAGGAACUCUGCCGCCGGGAUUGCUGAUGCUGGCCGCGUCGCCGCUCAGCGCCACUGUCGUCGUCCAAUCUCGCCAAUGCCGCCGCUGCUGCCGUCGUCCAGCCACCGUCGUCCUCAACGUCCAGCCAAGCCUCCUUCGCCGUCAGACGCCGGGAGACACUGCUGAUGGUCGCCGUCCAUCGCCGCUGGUGUCGGCUUCUCCAAUUCCGCCAGCCACCGCCGCCGUUUUUCCCUCGCACGCCGUCGGAGGUUCGUUACAGACCGUUGUCAGCCCCGAUUUACCCCGAAACGUCCCGGAACUAACCCGUACAGCCCCGAAAGACUCCAACCCCACGAAAGAUAAGUUCUCCUUAUUCAAAGUUAUGCUCUUUCGUUUUUUUUAAUCACAGCAGCGGGUGUUCGAUAGUUUGUGUAUGAUGAUAUGUUUGAAACAAUUGCUAAAAUUUCAUGCUUGGCUGUGGAGUUCACAAGGCUGAAAGAGGAGGUUCUUGAAGCUGAAGAAUUUCUAUUUCUGUUGAUAGCAUCAUAGCAAUCGCUGGUGUUAGAUUCUGAAAUAGGACCAAUUUAGGUACAAAACAAUAGAGGGAUCUAUUACCUUGAGUUGAAAUUGUGCACGAGUGGUUCUUGUUUUUUUCCUUGCUGCAGAGAUAGAAGGAAACAGAUUGUGCAACAAAUAUUAUAGGAGAAGAGGAUUUGGUUGUGAUGUGGGAGAGAUUUAGGGAGUGGGAGGGGAGGGACGGUUUCUGUCGUGGGAAAUAGGAGGAUUCGAAUUCCUCCUUUACAUUUUUUUUAUGUGAUUUUAAUUUAAUUUGGAUUUAUUUGGUAUUUAUUUGCAGAUCACGGAUUAGGGAAAACUCAUCACGAAGGAGAAAAGUCUCUACAGAAUAUUUAAUUAACAUUUAAUUAAUGUCGAUUGAUAAUCAAAUCAACAUGGAGAAUAUUUAAUUAGAUUAGUUUAAUUCUCAGUCUAUUAUAUUUUAUUUUAAAUUGUGCAGUCCAGAAUUAACAAAUAAUUCACGGACUCUCGCAAUAUUAAUUGUAUUAAAUACAAGUACUUUAUGAUUCAAAAAUUUAGGUUUAGAAAAUCGGGGCGUUACAUAAUCAUUUAAGAGCUGUUGUAGGUUAGUGCAUCUCUAUCAGUAUAUUUCGAUGACUCUUUUAAUUGCAGGCGAAAAGGGAUGAAAGCACAAGAAUGGAUUCCACAGUAAUCUCAUUCACAAAGAGAUCCGCGGUCAGUCAAUGCCUGCACACGACAUGGUGCUGCACGCAUCCCAUGUGGGAUCACAACUAAUGGGAACAUCUCGCUGGAAUGAGACAAAUCCCCAACCCACUCUCCACGCGCCAAGACAAAAGAGGGGCAUUGUGUGCACGCGCUCACCAACCCUGCGCCACCCAGUCACGGUCCUAUAUUGGGGGCCACACCCGAUUGGGACAUCUGGUCCGGUCGACGUACCACUAGGUCAAGGGUCCAUGGGAUCUGCUGUAUGUACCAACCUCAACCAACAUCGGUAUUGAAUUAAAGUUAUCCUCCCUUGAUGGAUGGUUUUGUAAUAGUUAGGCUAGUACUUAGUCUAGUCGACCAUGGGCAUGUCCAUGGCUUCUUCAGCACCAAGCCUCCAAGCUUUGGUGUAUGUGUGUUGGGCUUGCCCUUUGUGUAACAUAAAAAAUAUGACAUAAAAAUGACGAAUUCAAGAUAAGAAAACUACAUUCAUUGUAAAA